AGACUGAUGUGGUCAUGCACGAAUAUUACCUAAUUCGAAUGUUUCGGAUGGUGAAAUUUCGGACCCAAUAUUUGACUGCUCUUCUUUUGCUUCCCCUAAUUGAGCAUCUCUAACAUGGUUACAAGUGCAGAUGGCGUUGGUUCUCUGUGAGCAUAAUAAACAGGAAAAGUAAGAAAGCAAAGUCAGCAAAAGCGAGUACGUCAACCGAUUUAAGCGGCCUCAAUAAGCUGAAUGAUUCCCAAAA